GUGACGUGGGCGCGAGCUGCCGCAAAUGCGCACGCUCCGCGCGGACGUGCCCGGCGCCGCGGGCCUGGGCCCGCGCCGAGCGAGUGCACAUUCCAAGGAUCCGGGCUCUGCGGCGUCAAGGCGCAGGCCCCGCCUCUGACUCCCGCCCCGUAGUCCCCGCCCCGGGCCGAACUUGGACUGGCCAGGCGGGAGGCGCGGGCUAGCCGGGGCAUUGGCUGCCUCCCGGGUCCGCGGGCGGUGGGGCGGCCUGCUGGCCGCCUUGGCAGUCCACCGUCCCAGCCUGACCUAGCUGCAUAGGCUCAGGCCCGUCUGGCCAGCCCCCGGCUCCCUUCCGCGGUGGGCAGCGCAGGCCCUGCCCAGACUGGACUAAAUAUCGAGUUUCCCACUUUUGUCGGGAGGAGGAGCUGGUGUGUGCUGUGGGCGAUCGCUUUGGGCUGGUCGCUUUUGGUUGGACUGACACACUUCCGCUCUGUAGGGCUGCUCGGGAGCUGCUUUUGUUGGGAGCACAGCCCCACUUCUCUCUCAGACUGGAAUGAGCUGGUUAAGUGUGGGAAGAACAGGGUACUAAUUAUAUUAUCUUUCCUACAACUGGAUUGGUAGGUGGAGAGGGAGAAAAAAAAAUCCUGCUGACGUUUCUCUCCAGUUGCUGCUAUUGAAAAUGCCAGGUUGCUUCAAAGGAUUAACCACAAGAGGAAACGCGCCUGUAGAAAAACAGUGGAGGGAGCUGCUUAGAGCACAUGAAAAAACCUGUUCGAAAUGGCACAGAAAACGUAAUGCCAGACCCAGAUUGUUCACAGGCUAACCUUGAAUGUCUUCCCUUGAGGGUUUCCAGAUAAGAUAUUCCUGCUGUCAAGAACUCCCCACCUGUCCCUCGCCUUGCGAUUCCAUCUCACCCUCUCUGAGCCAGGAGAAUGGGGCCUACCGGUAUCUCUUCCCAGAAGCAGUUGGUGCCGGCAGGUUUGGGCACUCCGGGUACCUCCCUCAGGACCUGUCCUUCUGGUCACUCUCAGCUUAGAUCCUGCAACCCAUUCCAGUCUGUGACUUCACCCAUGGGGACAAAGCAAAGGGGAAGAAUCACCCACCUUUCUGCUGCAGAGACUUAAGUGCCCCCAAGAGAUUGCCCCACAAAGCAGGGACUGAAACAUAUUAAAAGAAAACACAACUCACCAUUAGAGCCAUGACCUAAUUAUACUCAUUUACCUGGGAGCAGGAACUGAACGUCCUCAAGGGAAAGCCUGCCACUCCAUCCAAAAUAGAAACACUGAGAUACAAUGUCUGCCUUGAGAGACACUAAGUAAGGAUCUCUGUGGAACAGAGCUUCUCUUCUACUGCAGAAAAGCAUUUCCUUUUUAUUGUACACUGCCAGCUUAAUGUUGAAACUGAGCUGUUGGAACUUCCCUCAAGAAAUAAAUGCCUGCUGGAAAAUGGGAAGGCUUUUUUAGUUCUGGACUCACCUGCCAUAAAAGGAUCCCCGGGCCCAAGGGGUUAAAGCAGGCCUUGGAUCCAGGGCAGCAAUUCCUUAUAUUGUAUCAAAAGUCUUUAGUGCUGCUUGGCCUUUCAUGUAGCUCUGCAGCAGCUUUAUCGAUGUAUGCUAAGUAAACAUAGCUUUGUUUUUGUCUUCCACCCACCGCCCUCCCUCUGGGCUCAGACUGGAGUUGGAUGGCAUCCAAAGCGGCUCCUGCAGCAGUUCCAGCCACCUCCUCCACACAGGAGCAGGGUUUCUAGGGUGAGGCAAUGCGUCUGCAAUUCGCAGAGACAAGGCAGGAAUUGUAAUUGUAGUUCAUCAUGUGAUGACUUAUGAAAGAGGAAGCUGGUAUGUUUUAGUCACGUAGACUCUGCCCUCUUGCUCAAGGCUCCAGGUCCUCUCAGAAGAGUUAAGAUCAUCUUUGCCACUCGGCGUCAAGGUUACUGGGUUGGCUGCAGCAUGCCCCUACACAUUCCUAAGUGGCCAGGCAGGCACA
rnacentral:lncRNA from 1 species